rnacentral:rRNA from 1 species
CUAAACGACUCUCGGCAACGGAUAUCUCGGCUCUCGCAUCGAUGAAGAACGUAGCGAAAUGCGAUACUUGGUGUGAAUUGCAGAAUCCCGUGAACCAUCGAGUCUUUGAACGCAAGUUGCGCCCGAAGCCUUCCGGUUAAGGGCACGCCUGCCUGGGCGUCACGCAU